rnacentral:lncRNA from 1 species
AUCUAUGCAAUCAUGCGCUGUCAUUGUAUAAUAGGACAUCUGCAGAUCAACCCUAAAUUACAGAGGUUCCGAACUGUUACAUUGCUUUCCGUCUUUCUGCGGUGGGUCUCUGUUGUCUUUGUUAGUGUUUUUCAUCCUAAAUCUUAAAAAAGUCAUACACAGAUCUGACGGGAAAGCCAGGCACCAAUCUUGCGCGGAUGGCUCUCUUGUCCCACUUGGACCACUCUCUUGAGACAACAUAGGACCACUUGGCGAACUAGGAUAGGUCUGCUCCGUUAUGUCCUUCGGUAUUAUUUUGUCCGGAAAAAUGGAAAUAAACAAUUUUCUUGAGCCAUAGCGAACCGCACACAGGAGUUGCAUUUUAUUAUACUUGACCGGCAAUCAAAACCAGGAGAGGAAACAAGCUGAAGAUAAAGCGUUAGCUAAUAGCACAACCUAAACAAGGGGUCAUGGGAAAACAGUUGCUAUAGGAAUAAAGAUUUUGAUGUGGUGCCAAUCACUAGUUCCCCAUGGAAGCUGGAGAUUGAUACCAAACACGAGCCAGCUGCGUCAAUCGAAACCCACCUGCACUAUAGCCAAUAACGGGCUUCUACGUUCGUCGGUGACCCGACCGGUGAUCAGUAGCAGGUGAUUUAUAGCUUUUUCUAUAUAUUUCCCCAGCUUAUUUCAUUGGUUCCACUGGGUCAUUAAGUAAACCUUCAGAAUCAGGUACCUUCAUGUGUAGCAGCAUUGUGAGUUGAUUUCAUACAGGAAGACCAAAGCUCGGGACAUAAAAAGGAUGCCAAAAGCCGGAAGAAAUUGAGAAAAGGAUGCA